rnacentral:rRNA from 1 species
UACGUAGGGUGCAAGCGUUGUCCGGAAUUAUUGGGCGUAAAGAGCUCGUAGGUGGCCUGUCGCGUCGGCUGUGAAAACUCGGGGCUCAACUCCGAGCUUGCAGUCGAUACGGGCAGGCUAGAGUUCGGCAGGGGAGACUGGAAUUCCUGGUGUAGCGGUGAAAUGCGCAGAUAUCAGGAGGAACACCGGUGGCGAAGGCGGGUCUCUGGGCAAUAACUGACGCUGAGGAGCGAAAGCGUGGGGAGCGAACAGG